CGUGCUUAACACAUGCAAGUCGAACGAUGAAACCGGAGCUUGCUCCGGUGGAUUAGUGGCGAACGGGUGAGUAACACGUGAGUCACAUGCCCUUGACUCUGGGAUAACUUCGGGAAACUGUAGCUAAUACCCGCUACGACCCUCGGCGGCAUCGCGUGGGGGUGGCAAGAAUUGCGGUCAAGGAUGGGCUCGCGUCUGAGUAGCUAGUAGGUGGGGUAAUGGCCUACCAAGGCGACGAUCCUUAGCUGGUCUGAGAGGAUUAUCAGCCACACUGGGACGGAGACACGGCCCAGACUCCUACGGGAGGCAGCAGUGGGGAAUAUUGGACAAUGGGCGCAAGCCUGAUCCAGCAAUGCCGCGUGAGUGAUGAAGGCCUUAGGGUUGUAAAGCUCUUUUACCAGGGAUGAUAAUGACAGUACCUGGAGAAUAAGCUCCGGCUAACUCCGUGCCAGCAGCCGCCGUAA
rnacentral:rRNA from 1 species